GACGAGGUGGCCGAGUGGUUAAGGCGAUGGACUGUUAAUCCAUUGGCCUCUGCCUGCGGGUUCGAAUCCCUUCCUUUGUCG